UGUCAGUGACGGCGACAGCGUGCGGACGCUGAAUACUCAAGCGCAUUUAUUUUUGCAGUUGGCGGCCUGGCUUCUUCUUUCUGGAGUGCUGGAAGAGGCCUUCUUUCACGCCAAUGACGCAUCCUCGAUUUCCUGGCCUGUGAGGCGACACUGCAUUCGUACCGCUUCCAGCAUAGUCAGUGACGCCAUCUGAUACAAGAGUUAAGAAACUUGGAAUUGCCGCGACGGGUAGGCCUUGUUUUCGUGCGGCGAGCAUCACUUUGGCAGUGACGGCGAUGGCGUGCGGACACUGAAUACUCAAGCGCAUUUAUUUUUGCAGGCAUGGAUACUUCGUGAGCAGGGAGCAACCUUGCGAAUUGCUGCGACGGAAAUUGUGCUGCCACAGACGCAUGAGAAACCUGUCAGCGAAAAUCGCUCUGCGACGUGCGCAGCAGAAUAAUUUUUAUCGUCCCAAUCGCGCCAUGUGAAACAGCCUUUUGGCUCCGGGUUGGCAAGCGGCAUGGACGUUCCACACGUGCGCCGAUCCAUGCUUCUGCGAGACCGUCUCGCGAUGCCUACACCGGAAUGGACGACAAUGAUCGUUCGAACGCGCCACCGUUCGUGUGACUGUACGCGCAAACGACCAGGCAUUAAUGUCCAGCAUGGGAUGGGAUGAACAUAUUUGCUUGCUAUCCGGUCGUGUUUGUCGCGCGCCCAUCGGCAUGUUUUGUGGAUGGCAACUCGGCUAGAAGGCAUUAGUCUAUGAAAUGUGCAAUAAAUGCACUUGUGAUUAUUUGCA
rnacentral:lncRNA from 1 species